rnacentral:rRNA from 1 species
AGUGAACGCUGGCGGUAGGCCUAACACAUGCAAGUCGAACGGCAGCACAGUAAGAGCUUGCUCUUACGGGUGGCGAGUGGCGGACGGGUGAGGAAUACAUCGGAAUCUACUUUUUCGUGGGGGAUAACGUAGGGAAACUUACGCUAAUACCGCAUACGACCUACGGGUGAAAGCAGGGGAUCUUCGGACCUUGCGCGAUUGAAUGAGCCGAUGUCGGAUUAGCUAGUUGGCGGGGUAAAGGCCCACCAAGGCGACGAUCCGUAGCUGGUCUGAGAGGAUGAUCCGCCACACUGUAACUGAGACACGGUCCAGACUCCUACGGGAGGCAGCAGUGGGGAAUAUUGGACAAUGGGCGCAAGCCUGAUCCAGCCAUACCGCGUGGGUGAAGAAGGCCUUCGGGUUGUAAAGCCCUUUUGUUGGGAAAGAAAAGCAGCAGGUUAAUACCCCGCUGUUCUGACGGUACCCAAAGAAUAAGCACCGGCUAACUUCGUG